AAUGGGUUGUUAUGGUAUUGGUGUAUCAAGACUAAUGCAAACUAUAAUAGAACACAGUCUAGCUGUAAACAAUGGGAGAAUGAUAUGGCCAGUAUCCAUUGCACCUAUGAGUGUGUGCAUCACUCCUUUGGGCAACAAAAAGGAUACACAGUUGAUGUCUAAAGCAAUGGAUUUAUAUGAUAAGCUUGAUUCAAGGUAUCCUGGUGAGGUAGUCCUUGCAAUGAUGAUAGAUCCCAGUUGAGUAUUGGAGAGAGAGUCAGACACAUUGAGCUAUUGGGGUAUCCCAUAGCUGUAGUCAUUGGAUUAAAGUUACAAGAGAAUCAUUUUGAAUUACAUCUACAGUCUGAGAAGGAUAAGAUUGUUAAAGUGGUACAAGUGGAUGAGCUAAUAGAGACCAUUGACAAUAUUGUAAAUAAUUAAUAAUUUAUUUCUUAUCAAUGAUCACUUUUUAUUAUUUGCUGUUGCAUGUACGCCUUCAUGACGUUCAUGUAGACAUAAUUUUUUCCAUUAUUAGA